AAUUAUUCAUCAGCCUUCUGGCUAUGAUCAAAUAUAGUAUCCAUUUGUAUCAGUUUUACAACUCAUAUUUCUCUAUUAGAGAACAGUGUAUUUGAUGUGUUUUUCUAGCUGGGAGAUAGAAUAAGAGUUUGAGUCACUGAUUCCAGAAGUUCUGGUACUUCAGUACUUCUGAAAAUGUGCACCCCUC
ensembl:snRNA Gm23118 predicted gene, 23118